GAUGAACGCUGGCGGCGUGCCUAAUACAUGCAAGUCGAGCGAAUGACGAGGAGCUUGCUCCUCUGAUUUAGCGGCGGACGGGUGAGUAACACGUGGGUAACCUGCCUGUAAGACGGGGAUAACUCCGGGAAACCGGAGCUAAUACCGGAUGAUAACGAGAAGCGCCUGCUUCUUUUUUGAAAGUCGGUUUCGGCUGACGCUUACAGAUUGGCCCGCGGCGGAUUAGCUAGUUGGGGAGGUAACGGCUCACCAAGGCGACGAUGCGUAGCCGACCUGAGAGGGUGAUCGGCCACACUGGGACUGAGACACGGCCCAGACUCAUACGGGAGGCAGCAGUAGGGAAUCUUCGGCAAUGGACGAAAGUCUGACCGAGCAACGCCGCGUGAGCGAUGAAGGCCUUCGGGUCGUAAAGCUCUGUUGUCAGAGAAGAACAAGUACCGGAGUAACUGCCGGUACCUUGACGGUACCUGACCAGAAAGCCACGGCUAACUACGUGCCAGCCGCCGCCGUAACAC
rnacentral:rRNA from 1 species